rnacentral:sRNA from 1 species
AGUUCUUUUCGGCUGGAAUGGGGAAUUUGUGAGGUAGGCCGGAAGUGGUGUUGCGGAGGGAAUUGUGGGGGAGAUCAGAGGUGCAGCUCUGCUGGAGAGACCUGAGGCUUGCAACGCUGGGCCCGGCCGAGUCGCUGCGGCUGGGCUGGAGGUCAAGGAUGCAUUCCAGGAAAGUUCCAUAAAAAUAUACCAUCAACUCCAACCUGAUAUUUGACCUAGCUGUGGAAAACCUCAUUGGCUCCUCACUAGAUCAGACCAUAAAAAUGAUUCAGGAAUGAAAAUCUAAGAUAAAUUCCCACCACUUCAAGAUGUUCUUAUACAAGUCAACAGUCUAGCAGAUCAGCCAGUCUCUUUCAUCAUCAAGCAGACAUACUCAAGGUACCAACACAGCAAAGGCACAAAAUGUCUCUAUAUCAGUAUUUUUCAUGGUGUAUGUGAGACCCAUUAGUGAGGCAUGAAAUCAAUUCUGUGAGUCACAAUGAACAUUUUUUUAAAAAACGAAAUAAAAUGUAAAAUACCAAA